UUCGUUUCUCUUUCAUAAGUAUCGCAUUGAAUUAUUUUGUAAUGUUUUUUUACAUAUAUUUACAAUUAGCACAUAUACAUCGUACUUUUAUCUAUCUUUGUUUGCUUUUAUACUUGAUUUGUUUCUUUCUUUCUUUUUUAUUUAUUUUUUUUUUUAUAUUGUCACCAUUGGGAAUAAAACUUGCCAUCAACAACUUUCAAGCAUUCGUUCUCGUGAUACGAUCGAUGUAAGUUUAUCGGCUACGUGCUAGCUUGCCGACCGUGGAUCUUUUUUAUUAAUUACGUAAAAAUAUUUCUGUAAAGGUGUUUCUUGUUUAAAAUUAAUCGUUUGCAAAUUUUGCAGAACGCAUAAAUACGUCUUGGACAAUGGCGAUGGCCAGGGUACAUGCGUAGCUCCGACAAAAGGAACAUACUUUACGUAGCGUCCGUGAAGAUUACAUUGAACAUGGAUCCUGCCUUGUCAAACGGUGUUGGAAAAGGAACUGGGACGGAUGUCCGGCUGUCUGGAAAGUCCAUGGUAUUCAAACGAAGCCACGAACCAUACGCCAUCAUAGGAGGUGUCGAUUCGAAGCAACAUAAUCUCCGUUUGAGCUAACCAAUAAUCGGCUUAUUGAUUUUGAUUCGUACUGUUAAGUCCUCCCCACUGUUGUUUAACGAAUUAAAAUACUUAAGUUAAACGGAGUUUAAAUCCAGAAAAAUAAUUGGAGGAAGAGACAAUUUGUAUGGAAUUCGUGACAAUUCCAGUAGUCUGAAGGAUCCCUUAACGAGGACGGCCCUGACCGCUAGCGUUAUCCUAUUCGAUGCUUCAUUGACUUUCAUCCUAACUUGCGUGAUGCGUGUUUCGCACACGUGACAUACAGUUUGCAUGGAUACGUGACAUACGAGGUGCACGUAAACGAAGCUGCUGCUGCUGCUGCUGUGGUGCUACUGCUGUUGGUGGUGGUAGUGGAGGUGGUGGUUCUGGGCCGGUUAUACAGAACGUGUUACUUCAUGGUGACACGUAACACGGCUAGAUUGCUGCUAUAUUUCAUUUUUCCAUAAAUGUCGAAUGAACGAUCCGAAACACGUAUAAGUUUCACGAUAAAACAUGUAGUCGUCCAGUUUUCAGAUUGAAAACUUUGAACAAGGAAUCAAGUGUUAAGAUAAAGAAAGAUUCAUCAGUGUUAGAUCAAGAGGAACCGAAGAUUCCUUUAGUCGGAAAUUUUCAAGUUUUAAGCUACCAAGCAAAUGUGCUGAUCGAAUUCGACGAAUAAUUUGGAUGUGAAAGGAUCACGUUGAACAUUUGUAUCUCUCUCUUCCUCUCUCUCUCUCUCUCUCUCUCUCUCUCUCUCUCUCUCUCUCUCCCCUCCUCUUUCUUGGAGUGUCGAGAGAAGCGAUUUAUUUAAUUAAGCGACAGAUUCUGUAUCGUUCGGCAAGCGUAGUCGGUUUGAAACGGAAGGAGAGCUUCGAAACGCAGAGGAGGGCAACAACGCAGCAACCAAACACUUGUGGCUUUUAAGCUUGUGGCGAACCGGUGCUCCUGAUUCAAUUACCUUUGAAAUCCUUUGUCGUCGGACAUUAAAGCCGGAGCUAAUCCUGGGAGCACGUUGGAAACUCCGAAUGGCUUCUCCUCCUUCUCCUCCUCCUUCUCGUCCUCUUCCUUCAUUCUCUCUCUCUUUCUCUCUCUUUUUUUCUCUCUUUCUCUCUCUCUUUCUAUUUCUAUUUCUUUCAGUUUCGUUUUUUUUUCAUUGAUUAGAAAACAUUCCCGUGUUAAGCCGUAAUGGGAAAUUUUAUGGGGUGUUAACUGUAAUCUAUGAACAAAGAUGGCUACUCUCAUUUUAUUUAUAGCACACUCAUUAUCUUUUAAUUUGUUCCUUUUUAUUUUUAUUUUAUAUUCCUUUACCGUUUAUAUGGAAAACGAGAUACAAAUAUUUGAAGACAAUACGUUCGACAUGCUAAUUAAUAGCGAUAUCUUUUUCUCUUCGAUAGAGGAAUAAAGGAUGCUUUAAGUAUGGAUAGAUUUCUACUAUGGAAAAGAGAGAGAUAGAGAAGGAUCGAAAAGGAACGAUUCUUCAAUCGUUGAGCUUUCACACUCAUUCGAGCGUAAAUUUUCUAGUUUCGUAUGGUCGAACGUUAUCGAUCAUAUGAUCGGUAAGUGCAGGAAAAUUGGAAAUCUCUUUUCAAAAUGAUUCUUUUUUCUCUCUCUCUUUUUUUUUUCUUUUUUGGAUAAAAAACCUUGCUGAAAGUUUACACAUCUUUUAAAAUUUCUUUAAGGAAAUUUAACUUAACUUAAAAUGGAUCGUAUUUAUUUUCACUUUCUUGUUAUACAUUUUUUUUUCGUUUAAUUUAUCGUUAUGAGAAGUAUUGCUUUCGACAUUAGAAAGCGUUAGUUCGAUCAUGGGCAAUUUUCAGUGCAAACGAAACAUAUAAAAGUUAUUAAAACAAUGUUUGAAUCACUUAGCUUUAUGGCUUAUUCAAAAAGCCGAGGAGUUCAAUGUAUAUUUAUUCUAUCUCUUUCACUUUCAGAGGAGAGAAUUUUCUAGUUUUGAAACCACAAACGAGUACAUAACGAAAUCAUCCAUAUAUAUAUAUAUAUUUCUUCACAUAUAUACAUGUGAUGCACAUAUGAAAGGAUCAAAAUUAAAAAUAUAUAAGUGGAGGGUUGAUUUUUUAAUUAUUAAAAGUACAAUAGAUAAAUUGGGAAAGGAAUAAAUAUGAAAAUGAAAGUCGAAAGAUUAUUAAGCAUUGAUUUUUUAAUUUUUCUUUUUUCCUUUUCUUUUCUUUUUUUUCUUUUUACGCAUACACAUACAUACAUAUAUUUAGACAUACGUAUACAUGCAUGGAAGUUUGAUAGAAAGAGAAAGAGAGAGAAAGAGAAAGCUCGUUGAUUAUUUUUUUACCCUUGCCAAUUAUUUUCUAUGCCUGAAAGAGGGAGUAUAUUUCGAAAGUGGAACGAUAGAGGCUUAUCGAUAGGAUGAACGUCAUAAAGCGAUGCAUCCUAGAACAUCGAAGGUCAACGAGAGAAAUCUGGAGCACUUGGAUACUUAUCUGUUGAGAGAGGAAUCAUUCCUAUCCUUUUGGACAACAUUUUCUACAUUGAUCUCUCUAGAUAUUAUUGAUAAUAAUAAAAUUACAGAAUGUACAAAUAAAACGUACAAAUUUACAACAUUGUACAAAAUGUACAAAUAAAAUGUAUAACUAACAAUAUCUACAAAUAAUAAAAUCAAGGCAAGUUACGUACUCUA